rnacentral:tRNA from 1 species
GCCGGCGUGGCGAAACAGGCAGACGCAAGGGACUUAAAAUCCCUCGGUGGCAGCACCGUGCGGGUUCGAGCCCCGCCGCCGGCA